rnacentral:lncRNA from 10 species
UCUCAGUAAUUCAGAAUAUGACCUUAUAUGGAAAUAGGGCCUUCACAGAGGUAAUCAAACUAAAAUGAGGUUAUUUGGGUGGGUCCUAUCCAACAUGACUGUGUUCUAACAAAAUGGGGCAAUUUGGAUAUAGAGAGACACACGGGGAAGGAAAGCUAUGUGAAGACACAGAGAGGUUGCCAUCUACAGGCCAGAAAGUGCCUGAGACUAUUGGAAACUAGGAGAGAGGCAUGGAACAGAUUCUCUCUCACUGCCUUCAGAAGGAACCAACCCUGCUGACACAUCAGUUUCACACUUCCAGGCUACAGAACUGGGAGACAAUAGAUGUCUGUUGCUUAAGCCACCCAGUUUGUGGCGCUUUGCUACGGCAGCCCUAAGAAACUAAUAGACAAAGAAGAAACACUGUUGGUGCCUGAAAUCUUCAAGUCUGGGGACCACCAGAUAAGCAGCUUCUAAAGAAAAAUAAGAUAGUCCUAUUUUUCAAGAAGGAAAUCGGUCAACCUCAAUGCAGUCCCUGCCACAUACCAGGCACUCGGCAAGAUUUGGUUUUACUUGUCAUCUCAUCUAAUUUCCAUAGCAGCCUCCAAACAUUUGUUAUUAAUCUGAUUCUUAUGGAUGAGGACAUCAAAGCUCAGAGAGAAAAAUUUGACCUUGUUCAAAGUCAUACUACCAGUAAAUGCUUGCAGGCCCGUGGAAAAACCUGC